GAUGAAGAACGUAGCGAAAUGCGAUAAGUAAUGUGAAUUGCAGAAUUCAGUGAAUCAUCGAAUCUUUGAACGCACCUUGCGCCCUUUGGACUUCUGAAGGGCAUGCCUGAUUGAGUAUCAUGAACACCUCAACUCCUUAUGGUCUUCCAUGAUGAGCUUGGACUUUGGGGGUUUUGCUGGCCUACAGUCAGCUCCUCUAAAAUAAAUCAGCUUACCGGUGUUUGGUGGGUAUCAUGGGUGUGAUAACUAUCUACGCUUGUGGUUUUUCCACCAGGUAACCUUCAGCAGUGGAGGUUCGCUGGAGCUCAUAGACGUCUCUCCUCAGUGAGGACAGCCCUUUGAACGUUUGAUCUCAAAUCAGGUAGGACUACCCGCUGAACUUAAGCAUAUCAAUAAGCGGAGGA
rnacentral:misc_RNA from 1 species